UUAAACAGCCACUGAUCAUGAAGAUGGUUUUCCCAGGGUGAGGCUCAGCCAUUGCAUUGUGGGUGUGCUGAACCCUGUGAUUUCCCCAAGAGUAUGUGUACACUAUAAAGUUUUGCUGGAAAAACA
rnacentral:snRNA from 1 species